rnacentral:lncRNA from 1 species
CUUAGCAGUCCUCUACUAGAAACAAGUAUUCUGUUUUCCUUAUUACGUGAGUGAAGUAAAAUUUUAGGUAGUCGUGUAAGGAAUAUACUAGAAAUCCUGUCCUAUAAUUGCACUGACAUGGAACCUCUCUCAGCAUUCUGUCAUUAGCACACUACAAUUGACCCCCGACUCUUCAUCCCAUAAACAAUGUAUAUGAGCAUUCAUAACCAUUUUACCUUGUUUUUCGUUAGAUUUUUCUAGUUACAUUACAUUGAGUAAAUAUAUAUUCAUGUUAACUUGUACAUAGAAUAGUUAGUGUACUGUUUGAUUAUGCAGCUAUUGAGCAGGAAUUUUCCCUCCAAAGCUGCAUGCAACAUCAUAAUGUGCUCUGUAAAUGACUUCCAUACUCUGAUUGUCUACCAUUGCCCUCAAUCUGUGUAGAUACUCAAGCUAUGGUUGCUCAAUGUGAUUAAGAGCCAACAAGUGGGACUAGAAGGACACCAAGCCUUGCAAUAUUUUCUUUAUUGUAGCCAUUUAUGGCCCUAUUUUUUGAAUUGGCUUUCGUUUUCAUAAGAUCAAUAGAAUUUGACUAGUUUCUUCAUUUUCUGAUUGUAGCUCUUUGUAAUAGUUCUUUUUUGGUAAUGAUUCUAGUGUGUAGUUCUAACACAUUACAUUUUCAUGUGGAGUUCAUGUGAAGAGUAAGAGGGGUGGGAAC